GUAUUUUGAAUUAGUUUAUUCAUAAUAGUUUUCAGACAAAAGUUCAAUUAGAAUAAGUUGAUGUUUGGUCGAUCCUUUUUUUUCUUGACGAAAAAGAAAACCGACUGACAUUGCACACAAGGUGGAUAUGGAUUUAAAAAGUGCCAUAAAACACUUAUUAUGAAUGAUCCUUCCGCAGGUUCACCUACGGAAA
rnacentral:misc_RNA from 1 species